rnacentral:rRNA from 1 species
GCUACAGGCUUAACACAUGCAAGUCGAGGGGCAGCAUGAACUUAGCUUGCUAAGUUUGAUGGCGACCGGCGCACGGGUGAGUAACACGUAUCCAACCUGCCGAUGACUCGGGGAUAGCCUUUCGAAAGAAAGAUUAAUACCCGAUGGCAUAUUUCUUCCGCAUGGUAGAACUAUUAAAGAAUUUCGGUCAUCGAUGGGGAUGCGUUCCAUUAGGUUGUUGGCGGGGUAACGGCCCACCAAGCCUUCGAUGGAUAGGGGUUCUGAGAGGAAGGUCCCCCACAUUGGAACUGAGACACGGUCCAAACUCCUACGGGAGGCAGCAGUGAGGAAUAUUGGUCAAUGGACGAGAGUCUGAACCAGCCAAGUAGCGUGAAGGAUGACGG